CUUCAAUUUCUUUUUCUUCUCUAAUUGCUGCAGCUAAAGUUUCUAGUACAAUGUUAAAUAAUAGAGGUGGUCUUAUUGGGAAGGCUUCUAGUUUGUCCCCAUUGCAGAUGAUGAUGUUCCCUGGUACUGUGUAUACUUGGCAUUCCCACUUUUCUGUCAUUCCUGGUCUUUACUCAAUCUUUUUUGUUGCCUCCCUCCUCUUUCCUAGUACCAGGACAGAGAUUCCUUGAAUUAAUAAUAAUGACAGAAGAAUUCAUUUUUCUGAGAUGGAGAAAACCUUACCAAAGAUGUAUAGGGAAUGCCAAUGCUGAUUAUUCUCAUUUUUAAAAUAAGGAAACUUGAGUCUGAAAGAGGUUAAUAGGCAAGAAAGGCAGAGGCAUAGAUGAGAGAAUAGCAAAAAACCAGGGAUGAAGGGAGCCCUGGUGACAAAAAGGACACGGGAUUCUCUCUGUGGUCAAGGAGAUGGCAGUGAGAGGGGUAAAUUCACUCACUUACCCAUGGUCCUCUUUGGAGAGUGCAGUGCCAAGGGUGACAAGCCUCACCUGGCUGAGAGUGGUUUGUUUGGGCCCCAUUGUCAUAGCAACAAGGGAAGGUUUGGUAACAGAGCCAGUGACUUCACAGAAGCUGGUCUUAAUUCCACAUUUCUGAAGCUCAGGGAAGAGCAGAGCCAGCCAGGAGAGAACUUGGAGGAAGAGGAAGACAAUAGAUUCCUUGGAAGAGCUGUGAGUAAUAGAAAAGUACUGUCCUGUUGACAUUAAUGGAGGCCCCAGAGAGAUCCGAAGUCCGCGCGGCCUGAGCCCUCCAGCUAACAAGGACCCCAGACUUGAGGGACCUCACCCAACCCAUUUGGGGUUGGGUCAGGAGUCCGGUUGGCUAGGGCCAGGUAAGUGGCUCUCGGAGGUAAGACUCACAUCUCUGGUUUGGGAGUGACUCGCUCUUUAAUAAAGGGAUCCUUAGUCCAGUGUCUGUGGGGUAC
rnacentral:lncRNA from 1 species